rnacentral:rRNA from 1 species
UACGUAGGGACCAAGCGUUGUUCGGAUUUACUGGGCGUAAAGGGCGCGUAGGCGGCGUGGUAAGUCACUUGUGAAAUCUCUGAGCUUAACUCAGAACGGCUAAGUGAUACUGCUGUGCUAGAGUGCAGAAGGGGCAAUCGGAAUUCUUGGUGUAGCGGUGAAAUGCGUAGAUAUCAAGAGGAACACCUGAGGUGAAGACGGGUUGCUGGGCUGACACUGACGCUGAGGCGCGAAAGCCAGGGGAGCAAAACGGG